UACGUAGGGGGGCAAGCGUUGUCCGGAUUCAUUGGGCGUAAAGGGUCCGUAGGCGGCUCAGCAAGUCGGGUGUGAAAUCUCCAGGCUCAACCUGGAGGGGCCACUCGAUACUGCUGUGGCUUGAGUCCAGUAGGGGAGCAUGGAAUUCCCGGUGUAGCGGUGAAAUGCGUAGAUAUCGAGAGGAACACCUGCGGCGAAGGCGGGUUGCUGGGCUGAUGACUGACGUGGAGGCGCGAAAGCCAGGGGAGCGAACGGGA
rnacentral:rRNA from 1 species